CCAAACUCAAACAACCCGCUUUAAAUGCGUCACGUGAGUGUAAUGUGGCGGGUCACAUGGAUCUCAGGCGGUUCUGAAACUUGUGUUUGGACGGAAUAUGGUCCCAGAAGUCCAGCAACGAUCAAAAAAAGGUCUUACUGUACUAAUGAAAGGAGGAACGGAAAUGUGACGGGAACGUCCUGUUUGAGAAUACGCGGAGGUGAAGUGAGCGAGGACUUUAAUGUGUCAGCAGCUUAGAAAGGUGAAAGCUGAGCACAUGUCCAAGGCAGCCUGAACGUUCAGGGGGAAAUUGUAAUGAACUGGAAGUCUCGCACGUUCACAGAUAACAGCUUACUUCUGCGUUGA